rnacentral:rRNA from 1 species
GCGGCCGCUCCGUUUGAUCCUGGCAGAGGUUACUGCUAUCGAGGUUCGACUAAGCCAUGCGAGUCGAAUGUAGCAAUACAUGGCGUACUGCUCAGUAACACGUGGACAAUCUACCCUUGGGUCGGGGAUAAACCCGGGAAACUGGGUAUAAUACCCGAUAGAUCUGCGCUGCUGGAAUGCUUGCAGGUUGAAAGCUUCGGCACCCAAGGAUGGGUCUGCGGCCUAUCAGGUAGUAGUGGGUGUAGUGUACCCCCUAGCCUACGACGGGUACGGGUUGUGAGAGCAAGAGCCCGGAGAUGGAUUCUGAGACACGAAUCCAGGCCCUACGGGGUGCAGCAGGCGCGAAAACUUUACAAUGCUGGAAACAGCGAUAAGGGAACCUCGAGCGCCAGGUUACAAAUCUGGCUGUCGUGAUGCCUAAAAAGCAUUGCAUAGCAAGGGCCGGGCAAGACCGGUGCCAGCCGCCGCGGCAACACCGGCGGCUCGAGUGGUAACCGUUAUUAUUGGGUCUAAAGGGUCUGUAGCCGGCCGGAUAAGUCUCUUGGGAAAUCUGGCUGCUUAACAGUCAGGCUUUCAGGAGAUACUGUCUGGCUCGAGGCCGGGAGAGGUGAGAGGUACUUCAGGGGUAGGGGUGAAAUCUUGUAAUCCUUGAAGGACCACCAGUGGCGAAGGCGUCUCACCAGAACGGACCUGACGGCAAGGGACGAAAGCUAGGGGCACGAACCGGAUUAGAUACCCGGGUAGUCCUAGCCGUAAACGAUACUCGCUAGGUGUCGGCCACGGUGCGACCGUGGUCGGUGCCGUAGGGAAGCCGUGAAGCGAGCCACCUGGGAAGUAUGGCCGCAAGGCUGAAACUUAAAGGAAUUGGCGGGGGAGCACCACAACGGAUGGAGCUUGCGGUUUAAUUGGAUUCAACGCCGGAAAUCUUACCGGGACCGACAGCAAUAUGGAGGCCAAGCUGAAGACUUUGCCGGAUUAGCUGAGAGGUGGUGCAUGGCCGUCGUCAGUUCGUACUGUGAAGCAUCCUGUUAAGUCAARCAACGAGCGAGACUC